AAUCUUAUAUUCAAUAAAAAUGAUUUUAAAUUGCAAAUUUAAAGGAGAGAAAUUAAUCUCUAAGAUUU
rnacentral:tRNA from 1 species